GCUGAAAAGAACAAUAAACUGCCUUUCAAUUUUCACGGCCGCCAUUUUGACGAGUCACCGAGACGCAAGCCUGAGGAAGAAGAUGCCACUAUCUUCUGUGAACGUGUAAUUUAGAGCAAUUAAGGAGUUCUACCCUUGACCAGAAGAAAUUUGAAAGGUGAAAAAAUAACUAAAACUAACACCUGAUGGUGAAGCAGCAUUUUGUUGUUUGCUAACUGUCAAUAAAAAAUAGGAGGAAGAAGGGGAGACGUUGAAAGAAGAACUUGGACACCUGCGACCGUGUUAGUGGACACUGCAGACAACUAUGCCUUUUAUGACAACAUGGAGGAUGAAAACAUUCUGGCAAAGUCGGUGGAAAAAAGCGCAAAGUGCAAAAAAAGUAAUUUUGGCGCCACUGUGAUUGUUCCGUUAGCUGCCAUAGCAACAGCAGCUAAAGAGCUAAUGGCUAACGGCCAGGUGCACCGAUGGAAGCAUCCAGAACUUCUCCCGGUUUGGAUGGGUCGUCUUACUACGAGGGGAAAGAACAACACCUGCUUUAAGGAAUGGGUGGUUGCCAGUUCGUGAGUCAGACUUUCAUCUGAUUUUGGCCUUAAAUCUCAGCGGGAGAAAGGAGUUCAGCUCUGCGAUGUCCAGUUCUCCUCUUUAGCCCAAUGUACUCCACAACAGUUGGGAUUAAUUAUUCAGCUACAAUUAGCGUGAUGUCAAUAGUAAUUGCCAUCAGUGCCAUGCUCCUCUGACAUCGAGGCAGGCUGUUGUGAGACUUCUAAUGUUAAAAUUGUUUUUUUUCACUCGAGUUACAGUAUUUGUUAAGGCUUGCGUGAACUGUACACACAUGCACACACAUUCAAAUAAACACUCUCACACACAUCAGCUCAACCACACAUCUCCACACCCACCCAGGGGCAGUCAUGCAUGACAGCACUUAAAUAGCUUCCACUAAUACACACAUGCGUAAGCACACAAAAAAUAUACACACAUGUACUUACAUUACAGAAAACUGUUGAACCUAGAUAAGUGUUGCUCAUUUUUCGUUUAAUAUUGUUAAUGUUUAUCAAUAGAAACAUUUUCUGGAUGUUUGCUGACUGUGUGGUAAUUGCCCAGAGUCAACCUUCUGACAAACAAGAGACUGAGAAACUUGCAGUAUGCAUGUUCUAAAACAGGCUGCUGCUUUUAUUGAAAUAGAUUGAAAUUACAUCAAGAAAAUGUCCCCAUUUUGCAUCGUGACAUGACAGCCGUUCAGUGCUGUACAUUUUUUUCUUUAGUUGUUCUGGUCACUUUUUGGAAUUUAAUGUUUGUUCAAGAACAACAAACUGAAGUACAUUAGUACAAAUUUUUACUAUCACUUAUCUGACACAUGAAUGUGCUUUGAAACAUGUAUCCUAUCAUCAUCAUUCAGAGUGAAAGCAUGUGUACACACAAAUAAAGUACACUUAUUCAGAUGUUCAGAAGUUGAUGCAGGUCUUAUAUUCCUCAACCAUACUUUCUUUCGUGAUGCUGUUUUAUGUUGGUUUUGACAAUGUUUCUGCUCUUGCUUCAUUCAUUCAUCUAUUUGUUUAGGCUUUUUUUGCUUCCCUAAAUAGUGUUGUUUUGAAAUUAGUCAUGGAGUGACGGGGCUCACUUCUGUGUAUGCAUUUUCUUUUUUGCUGGUCUUUCCACUGGCAAAUGAUGAGCUCAAGACCUAAAUAAACAUAAAAUAAACACAGUUUUUUCCAACAGACCUUAACAAUUUAAAUCAAGUAAAUUUAAACUUGGAACCAGAUCCUAAACAUCCCUGCUAUACAUAUCUCGAUUCCAGGCGCUAUGGCUGCAGGAAGUUACUGCAGCUUUAUAAAUGAAGUGAUGAUAAUGUUGAAUUUAUUGUACAUUAACUUGGACAAACUGCUGUAGCUUCAGGUCUCUGCAUAACCAACACUACUACAGUAUAUAUGCAUAAUAGAGUGUGUAUUGAAGAUUUGUGGGGUGGUCAGAUAAUGUUUGUGCCUUUUCUGUAUUGGGUGUUGAAACAUUGCACUUUGGGACCAGCAGUAUUGAUGGCGGUGAUAAAGUUGUGUAAUAAUGCUAUAAAGCCAGGGAAGACAAGGAGUUGCAAGAGGAGAUUGGCUCAACAGUGUAACCAGUAAUCAGUCAGUAUGGUGAAAAAUGACAGGGCCAAUGUGAGUGGACAGAAAUGGGGAAUAAAACAUGGGACUGAUGAAGGCUGAACAGACCAGAACGGGAAGAGGGUGGGAGUGAGUAGAGGUGACCUGCUCUUAGAGGGCACAAGCGUGUCGCUUUUUCUUAUUACAACCAAUACGUUUCAAUUUCUCAUGACAACACCACUACUCAUUUGGGGCAACAUCUGUAUUAUAGAGCUUGGUGGAGAGAGGGGAGGUAGGCUUAAUGUCCCAGUGGGUUUUGUAAUAUCUUCCUUAAGGAGGAAGGUCUUUAAAGACUUCUUCUUUUGUACCAGCACUUUUCCUUACCUGCAUCUUGAGAUUAAAUCUAUGCCUUGUUACCAGUUCAUUUUAAGCUGGUGCGAAAAAAAGUUUGGAUUUCGAUACGUUUUGAAUUGUUAUUACAUUUAUAUAAUUUAUAGAAAUUAUUCUUACUUCACUAAAUAAUGCAUUGUCAGAACAUUUACUUCUACAACUAUCAUUUAAUUAUAGUAAACGCUGUAAUUUCUUAGCUAUGAAACUCGGUGUGGGAAAGUAAAUGUAACACUCUACCUGGUGUAAUUAAGUAAAAAGCUACACUGGCUUUUGUCUUUGCUUCAGCUGUAGGCAAUGAACUAAAGCUAAACAUACUAUAAUGACGUUUUAGAUGUCCAACAUACAAAACCCUUCAUUUUAAAAUUGGUAUUAAACAGAGCAAUUUCUUACUUGCAGUUCUCUUUAUUAUCACUGCCCCUGCUGUGAUUGAAUCAGGUAUAUAUCUUGUCUGCAUAAAAUGUGGCUCUAUUAAUGCAAUGAGAAAUCAGAUUUCUAUACAGGUAAAUGUUCAUAAAUUUUUCUUUGGGUGAAUCUGGACCGUUAAGCAAACUUAACAGGCAAUCCAAUUGAAACCACUCUUACUGUGCCCCCCCACCACCCUUUUCUCUCUCUCUCUCUCACACACACACACACACACACACACACACACACACACACACACACACACACACACACACACACACACACACACACACACACACUCUUUAGGUUUUAUGCAGAUAAGACUAAAGGCUUUCCCUCCCAGAGCUGGGCGGGUGCCCAGUAUGCAGGAGUUUAUCUGGCACAAGUGUCCCUCCCUCCAUAUUUCACUUCUCGAUCUACUCUCUUUUUCUGAUAGCUUUAUCACUGCGGAGGGGUCAGAUGCUGACACCAGCAUAAGGGCUGCUUAAAUCGCUCUAAACAACAUCUAUCAUGGACCCUAUAAAAUAAGCUUCAUGGCAUGCACAAUACUGUGGCCUUGUGCUUGGAAAUGCUCGUCUAUCAUAGGGCUGCUUGACUCGAGGAAGCCUUUUUUUGAUGAUAUGUACACGAUUUAGAAGAGUAAGGUUCUGAUUUCGCCUUAAUCAGUCUUUAUGAGUAAUUUUAGGGUACAGACUGUAUGGAAGCUCUAUCACUCAUGAACAGAGGAAGGUAUGGCAUUGUAGAGGUGAUAGAUGGCACUAGCCUACAGUUGUAUUUAUUGAUCAGGAAGAAGCUUGAUUGGCAAACCCUUUUGGAUAGCUAAAAAAUGUCAGUGACUUUACCAGUUUGCAAGUUUCAAAGGCACGACAGGGGGAUAUGAAGGGAUAGGGGCAAAAGGGAGAAAAGGUGAAUUCUAAUUGAUGUUGAUUACAGGAUUAAUAUUAUGACAUGGUGACAGGUUGCUUAUAUGGCUAAGAUAAACUGAAACAAAUGGAAUGGUUGAUGAGAGAGGGAAGAUCAUGUUAUGGGUCUUAACUAAAAGAGUAAAGUUCAAAGUUCAACCAAUUGUAGUAGUAAAAACUGUGCCAGUUCACCCUCAUUUCUCUUUUCACUGCUUUGACUUGUUUAAAGUUAUAAAAAUGGUAGGAUUUCCUGAAUGCAAAGCAGAUGCGAAAAAAGGGGUCUGGAGGAGCCAAAAACGAGAACAAUCAAUGACCCAGAAAAGAAAAAAAUUAUUGUCCAAGCCCAUCACUUAAUUUCUUUAAAAGCCCAUUGAGAAGUCAGAACCGCUCAAUGUGCAUCCACUAAAGUUAACACUCUCUCUGUGCCAUACAAUUUAAUUAUUAGAACAUGAUUCAUUCAGUGAGUGGUCACCCAUUCGAUGGGACCAUUAUAGGCCAACAUAUUAUUUACAGCUCAAAAAUCCUCCUUUUUGGUCAGUAAUCGGUGAAGUGUACAAAUGUAAUUUAGAUACUUGAUUGAGGAAGAGAUUUUGUUAAUUAAGUGUUUUUGUAGAGUGCGUAAUCACUCUGGCUGGCUAUUCAUCAGGAACAAUGUGAUGAUUAGCUCUUGUGGCAUUCGAAGGGCUGCUUAUACACUGGAAAGAAGCAGUGUCUUAUCUUAAAGAAACUAUACAAUAACUACUAAUGAUUUUUCAACCCAUGAGAAUGUUGUGGCAACCUGAAUAAUCAAAUUCCACUUUAAUUUUAACACCUGUAACUAAAUGAUAUGGACACAUACUAUAGCGAGUACGUUAUGAGCCUAUGUAAACCUUUUCAUUUCAGGUGGCGCAAAUGGUGCUAACCCAGUUGCACUAUUUUACAAUCCUUUGCUUCAAAUACCUAUUAACUUCUGCUCCACGGCGCAUACUGCAUUGUCCAGAGAACAGCAACUCAUCUGAACAUUUAAACAGCAUGUGGGAAACCCCUAUAACUUCUAGAAAAGAUGUCAUUUAAGAUUAGUGUUUUCUUAAGUUGCUCUAAUUUCGAUAUGAAGUCUACCUAUUUUUUACUUACUGUAUGAGAAUGGUUCAACCUAAGGUUGAGCAAAGAUGUUUUUUUUUUCUUAGGUUCUUGGACAGCCACUGAACUGGUAAAAUGGGAUAAUGCUAAAGUUUAAUGAUUAAAACCAGCCACUUAUGAGUGGAAAUUAUGAAACCCUUGUGGGCAACCAGCACUUGAGUAUUUCCUCUGAAAUGGACCUGAGGCGAUGGCCUAAGGGGCUGCUGAGAGGGCUGUGUUCCCCAGCAGAUAGAACCAUUCAACCUUGCAUUACAGUAUAGCACCUUUAGACACGGCUGUAGCACUGAAUGGUUUGCCUGCUACCAAGACUGGUACAGUAUGGUGAUACAAAAGCAAUGAGACAUAUCAAUAUCAAAAUCAGGUCUCAUUAUAUGAUGCUUCAAAAAACAAACAUGUACAGUAAAACUGGAACUGCAUGGUCCAUCAGCUUUUUUAAAAGCAUUAUCAUGGUUGAACUCUAUCAAAGGUUAUUGAUGGGAUUAUUGGUUUGGAUUCAAUUUACUAGAAUAAUGGAAUAUAUUUUAAAUCUAUUGGUGUUGGUUACCUGCUUCAGCACUUUAUCACUUCUACGUCAUUUCUCUACAUUAAUGACAACUGUGCUGAUUAAACAGCAUGUAUGGGUCCAAAAUGGCCAAACAUCUCAGGCUGCACCUCUGAGGGGUCUGUAUAAUGCAUCAUAAUAAGACAAUUUUGUCUGAGUGUCCUAUUACGCUACUUUAUAACAAUCCCUUAGGUUCUCUAUUGGACACUAUACAAUGCUAAUGGUAAAGAAGAGAGGCAAUUACUGAUGCAGUACACACUACAAUCGUUAAUUUAUUUUAACAUAUCAUGCAUAAUUACUUGUUUUUAAAGCCUAUUUGGAAAUGCAGACGAACUGUGCAGGCAGCAGUGGAGCACAGUACCUUUGUCCCUGUGACUAACACCACUGUAACACAGACAGAUUGCCCCCUGGAGUGGGUAAGUCUGAAAAUAAUCUGUCUCCCACUUUGUGGAAUUUGCCACAGGGGGAGCAAUGUCAAUGAUACACACAAGCAGCAGGAAUCACUCUUUCACUUCUGUCAAAGAAUUUAGCUCUUGGCUCCUCACAUGAUGAGCAUAGUGCAAAAAUCACUUCACUAUGGCAAAUAAUAGCCAUGAGGAUGGUCAAGAAGGGAUUGUAAGACCACCAGUGGUUACUGUUGACUUAUGACGGACAUGAUUUUAGAUUGCAAUUGAAUUUUGAUGCCCCCUUUGGUAAAAUGCAGGGACUUUCUUGGGAGCAGCUGAGCUUGGAUAAUGCUGUGGUGUCUAGGUCAGUCUACAGUGUUGGGUCAGGCUUUCACUGACACCGUUGUUCUCUAGAAUGGGAAUGCCCUUUAAAAAUAUCAACACUCAGACGUAAUGUUUAAAGUUUGUUUAGUUCAACAUAAUCCAAAGAGCAUUCAGCAGGUCAAAUGGCAAGUCUCAAGUCCUACCUAACUAUAUUCAUUUGUGUUCGUGGUCAACUGGAAAAGUGAUUUUUGUUUACUUGUUUUAUUUACUGCUCCCGAUUCAUGCAGAUUGGCUUUGAGUGUUUGAAUAGUGCUGCUUUUAAUGAAUGGCUGAAGGCAAAGAAGAUGGUGAAAAAUGACCAGUCAAGCGGUGGCUACACUUUUAUAAACAAGCUUGGUUUCAUUUGGUUUCAUCUCUUUAAGCAUCUCAACUCUUGGUACAUACUGUAGCUCGCCUCUUUGAGUAGAAACAUUUUCAGAUAUGGGCACACCAAAGGAUCGUAACCAGCAACUGCAACUUAUUUUAUUUACUAUCAGACUUGUUUAACAAUUAGUUUUAUUGCUUCGUGCUAUGCAUUUUUGCAUCCUCAUCAUUGUCAUGCAGAUGUUCGUGCUUUUACCUUUCAUUUCAUUACCUUCCUUCUUUCCCUUGCAAGUUCAUCGCACUGCAUGUAGCUUACCUUGAACAGAUGUGGCUCAUUUAUAAUCACAUUAUAUGACUUUGACAUAAAAACUGAAUACAUAUAGAUGUCAUGAAUUUUUUUUUGCAAUAUGAAAGCAGUUGUUUGUUUGGAUGUGUCUACAGAUGUGGCCGUGGUCUGUGUUGAGACCUAUAUAAACUUUAAAGCAUUAAAGCAGCAGAUGUGCUCCUCUGGGAGUGUCUGCACAAGGAAGGCAGCUUGGAGUCAUGCCAGUGGGCAGGCUGGAAACAAUGCACAUACAGAGAGGUGGACUGCUUUGUCUAUAAGCGUCAUACCUGUGCAUGCAGUGCAAACAUCCACAAUUUAACUCCUUGUUUUUUAUGGAAUGUAUUAAUAUGGUAUCACAGAAAUUGUGGGUAUUUUACUGAAUUUUUUUUUUUUUUUUAAAU